CCAUAAAUAACAUUGCCUUUAAGACUCUGGACAUAGAAGCUGGGCUCCGAAAUAGUUGACUUUUUUUUUUUUUAAUCGAAAGCAUAUUUCUUUUAAUGACUCCAGAAAAUUAAGCAUCAAGUAAACAAAAGUGGAAAAUGACCUACACUUUUAAUAUAUUUCACUAGAGCCUAAAUAUAUUAAAGGCUGCUAUGUUUUGUAUGUAGUUGGAUUUUUUUGGACUCCGAAGGAAUCCAUCUGCAGACAUUGAAGCCCAAGCAGAAUUUGGAUUGGUGUGGAUUCUAAAUACUUCUGCUUAUCUUUAAGAGGAAAACUUCAUAAAGAAUAAACAAGUUGAAUAGAGAAAAUAUUUAUAAUAGGCAUUUUAGAUGUCUUUUUAAAUUUUUUCUGCUGUGAAACAUUUCAAGAUUUAUUGAUUUUUUUUUUUUUUUAAUUUUCCCCAUCAUACUCACACACAGGCUCACACUUUAUAUUCGCCAUAAUGAACCGUCCAGCCCCUGUGGAGAUCUCCUAUGAGAACAUGCAUUUUCUGUUAACUCACAACCCUACCAAAGCAACUCUCAACAAGUUCACAGAGGAACUUAAGAAGUAUGGAGUAACAACUUUGGUUUGAGUUUGUGAUGCUACAUAUGAUAAAGCUCCAAUUGAAAAAGAAGGAAUCUACAUUCUAGAUUGGCCAUUUGAUGAUGUAGCUCCACCCCUCUAAUCAGAUAGUAGAUGAUUGGCUGAACCUGUUAAAAACCAAAUUCCUUGGAGGGCCAGGUUGCUGUGUUGCAGUGUAUUGUGUUGCAGGAUUGGGAAGGGUACCUUUGCUGGUUGCACUUGCUUUGAUUGAAUGUGGAAUAAAGUAUGAAGAUGCAGUUCAGUUUAUAAGACAAAAAAUAAGGGGAGCAUUCAAUUCCAAACAGUUCUUUACUUGGAGAAAUAUCAACCUAAGUUGCGAUUACGCUUCAGAGAUACCAAUGGACAUUGCUGUGUUCAGUAGAAAUAAAUAGAAACGAAGGCUUAUGUAAUUGUAGCAUUUGGAGGGAACUCUUGGUACCUGGAAAUGUAAAUCUGGAAUUUUACCUGUGUCAUUGAAGUAGUGAUGGAUUCUAUACUCCUCAACCACUCUUCUUAACAAUUAGGAAAAAGUAAACAAAUAAGAAAUCCCUCUACAACAUGAAUAAAAUGUUGAAGGAAAAAGGAAAUAAAA
rnacentral:lncRNA from 1 species